rnacentral:lncRNA from 1 species
UGCACUCUCUGGUUCUAUAUUCAGACUGCAGAAGUAUCAGUCCAGCCACCCUUUCAGAUCUACUUCAAGGAAACACGAGCUUGAAAACUGCUCCCCGUGGUUUUGUCUGAACUGCUCACAUCCUGCAGCACACACUGGGUCCAGUGCUGGAGCCAGGAACCUAGAGAGGCAGGGAAGUUGAAGCUGCAGUAGUGAGAAGAUGAAGGGAACUUUGACCACCUGCUUCUAGAGAUAUACUGCUGCCUGAACUGGGUCAGACAGCCACAGGUGCUUCAAACCACCUUUUAUACCACUCUGGUUGGAAAUAGAACCAUUGGAGACUCAUCUUGUUACCUUCAGCAAAAAUGGAAACAAAUCAAGACUUUGAGAAUGCCAGUGGUCAGCAAAAGCUUGUUAAUAAAGCUUGUAGAGGAAGUCUCCCAGACAGUAUGCCUCCCUUGCCUAAAAUCCAUAGCAGUUGAAGUCACCCCUGUCUCAGCUGCUCCUUAAUC